AUUGAACGCUGGCGGCAUGCUUUACACAUGCAAGUCGAACGGCAGCGCGGGCUUCGGCCUGGCGGCGAGUGGCGAACGGGUGAGUAAUGCAUCGGAACGUGCCCAGUAGUGGGGGAUAGCCUGGCGAAAGCCGGCUUAAUACCGCAUACGAUAUGAGGGUGAAACGGGGGGACCGAAAGGCCUCGCGCUUUUGGCGCGGCCGAUGUCGGAUUAGCUAGUUGGUUGGGUAAAGGCUUACCAAGGCGACGAUCCGUAGCUGAUCUGAGAGGCCGACCAGCCACACUGGAACUGAGACACGGCCCAGACUCCUACGGGAGGCAGCAGUGGGGAAUUUUGGACAAUGGGGGCAACCCUGAUCCAGCCAUGCCGCGUGCGGGAAGAAGGCCUUCGGAUUGUAAACCGCUUUUGUUCGGGAAGAAAUCCUCUGGGCUAAUACCCCGGGGGGAUGACGGUACCGGAAGAAUAAGCACCGGCUAACUACGUG
rnacentral:rRNA from 1 species